rnacentral:misc_RNA from 1 species
GAUGAAGAACGUAGCGAAAUGCGAUAAGUAAUGUGAAUUGCAGAAUUCAGUGAAUCAUCGAAUCUUUGAACGCACAUUGCGCCCGCCAGUAUUCUGGCGGGCAUGCCUGUUCGAGCGUCAUUACAACCCUCAGGCCCCCGGGCCUGGCGUUGGGGAUCGGCGGAAGCCCCCUGCGGGCACAACGCCGUCCCCCAAAUACAGUGGCGGUCCCGCCGCAGCUUCCAUUGCGUAGUAGCUAACACCUCGCAACUGGAGAGCGGCGCGGCCACGCCGUAAAACACCCAACUUCUGAAUGUUGACCUCGAAUCAGGUAGGAAUACCCGCUGAACUUAAGCAUAUCAAUAAGUGGAGGA